rfam:Gossypium hirsutum cultivar TM-1 chromosome 4, whole genome shotgun sequence
UGUUAAAAAUUCCAUGCACUUCUACUAGUAAAAAUUGGUAUAGCUGACGGAAUAGUAAGAUAGGUACACGUGCGCCAUGCCAAUGUAUAGAGACUAGUUUUUAACAAUAGAAAUUGAUGAAAAUUUUAAUA